rnacentral:rRNA from 1 species
AGUGAACGCUGGCGGUAGGCCUAACACAUGCAAGUCGAACGGCAGCACAGUAAGAGCUUGCUCUUACGGGUGGCGAGUGGCGGACGGGUGAGGAAUACAUCGGAAUCUACUUUUUCGUGGGGGAUAACGUAGGGAAACUUACGCUAAUACCGCAUACGACCUACGGGUGAAAGCAGGGGAUCUUCGGACCUUGCGCGAUUGAAUGAGCCGAUGUCGGAUUAGCUAGUUGGCGGGGUAAAGGCCCACCAAGGCGACGAUCCGUAGCUGGUCUGAGAGGAUGAGCCACCACACCGGAAAUUGAGACCGGUCCAAACCCCCGACGGGAGGCCGAGGGGGGGAAUAUGGGAAAAGGGGCGCAACCCUGAACCACCCAUACCGGGGGGGUAAAGAAGGCUUGGGGUUUGAAAACCCUUUUUGUGGGAAAAAAAAAGCAGCAGGUAAAUACCCCGGUGUUCGGACGGUACCCAAAGAAAAAGCCCCGGCAAAUUUCGU